rnacentral:misc_RNA from 1 species
GAUGAAGAACGGAGCGAAAUGCGAUAAGUAAUGUGAAUUGCAGAAUUCAGUGAAUCAUCGAAUCUUUGAACGCACAUUGCGCCCUUUGGCAUUCCGAAGGGCACACCUGUCCGAGCGCCGUCGCACAACUGAGGCGCAGCCUAGCGUUGGCGGGCGACUUGUGAGUAGCGAGUCGCCGCCCAAACGAGACGGCGCCGCGCCGCGGCCGACGAAGCACGAAAGCGGAAGUCGACGCGGAGGCGGUUGCCUGUAGGAAGACACAGCUUGGCCUCGGAUCAGGUGGGGAUACCCGCUGAACUUAAGCAUAUCAAUAAGCGGAGGA